rfam:Gasterosteus aculeatus cont1.007819, whole genome shotgun sequence.
UUUAAAGUGUAAUGUAAGUCGCUUUGGAUAAAAGCGUCUGCUCAAUGACAUGUA